rnacentral:rRNA from 1 species
UACGUAGGGGGCUAGCGUUGUCCGGAAUCACUGGGCUUAAAGCGUGUGUAGGCGGAUUUGUAAGUACCUUGUGAAAUCCCACGGCUUAACCGUGGAACUGCUCGGUAUACUGCUUAUCUUGAGCCACUUAGGGGCUACCGGAACAAAUGGUGGAGCGGUGAAAUGCGUAGAUAUCAGGAGGAACACCGGUGGCGAAGGCGGGUCUCUGGGCCGAUACUGACGCUGAGGAGCGAAAGCGUGGGGAGCGAACAGG